rnacentral:lncRNA from 1 species
UUUUUUUUUUCCUAUGUCCCUUUGCUGGCUUGCUCCACUUUCCUCCUUUUCACUUUGAUCUCAGAAAACAAUGUGUUUUCGUCUUUUGCUAAUACAUUUGUCAUUUUACAUUCUCACUUCCAAGAGCUCAUGGAUUAUUUUGGUUUUAAGUAAGUAUACUCCAAAAGAUGUAUCAUUAAUCCUGUUCUUUAACCAAAACUCUAUAGACAUGUUCUCAAUUUCUUUUUUUAAGUAACUGAUUUAUUUACUUGAGAAAGAGAGAGGGAGAACACAUGAGCAGGGGGAAGGGUAGAUGGAGAGAAACUCAAGAUUUCCUAAUGAGCACAGAGCCUGACCCAGGGCUUGAGCUCAUGACCCUGAGAUUGUGACCUGAGCCAAAAUCAAGAGUUGGCACUUAACCUACUGAGCCACCCAAGCCCCACAACAUGUUCUCAAUUUCUAAUUGAAUUGUCUUUUCCAUAGAUAACAUACUUUUCUUUCAUACUUGGUUAAUCAUUACCAUGUCUCAAAAGUGUUUUAGCUCAUCCCUAUCUUUACCACAUUGGGGAAGAUGACAAAUUCUCAACUGUUUGCUUAAAAUAUGUCUUUUGGAUUGGGGAUAGUUGACAAACAGGCCCAGUAUGAGACUGAAUGCAAAAUCUAAAGACCUUCCCUACCCCAAAAGCAUAGAUAUAAAUAUGUUUAAGUGCAAUAGUGGCUCCAGGAGGACACUGCGAUCUGAAUGCUUUACUCUUUUUAAGGCAAUAGGAAGCAUUUAAUUAAGUUUCAUUAUGUCUGAGACAGUGUUACUUACAGUUCUACCUCAGGUCCUCUUUUUUUCUCUCUCAACACUGCUUGGUUAAUCUUGUCCAUUCCUACACUUACAUGUAGAUUCUUUCAUUCAACAUACGUAUUGAGUCCAGGUACUACUGUAAUUACUAGUGAUAGUACAUAGCACUAUAGUACAGUACUAUAGAAAUACUACAGUAAAUAUAGGUGGUGAAAUGCAUAGGAAGGGAGGCAAAACUUAAUUUCUGUAAAGAACAUCUAUGUUGCAGGAGCAGCUAGGGCAAAAACCCUAAAAUGGAUAAAAGCUUGGCAUAUUCUAAAGCAAGGAGAAACCUAGAGAAGUUUGGCCCUAGUGACAGAAAAUAAUUAUAUGAAAUGACGUCAGACAUCUAGCUAGC